UACAGAGGUCUCAAGCGUUGUUCGGAUUCAUUGGGCGUAAAGGGUGCGUAGGUGGCGCCGUAAGUCGGGUGUGAAAUUUCGGGAGCUUAACUCCGAAACUGCAUUCGAUACUGCGGUGCUUGAGGACUGGAGAGGAGUACUGGAAUUCAUGGUGUAGCAGUGAAAUGCGUAGAGAUCAUGAGGAAGACCAGUGGCGAAGGCGGGUCUCUGGACAAGUUCCGUGACACUGGAGGCACGAAGGCCAGGGGAGCAA
rnacentral:rRNA from 1 species